AAACUACCAAUUGGUGUCCUGCUGAGACAAAAAAAUAUUCUCACAGCUCAAGACAAGUUAGAUAUCCACUUGUGGGAACAGUGCUGAAGGCCUGGACUAAGAUGGUAGCAAUGGAGACAGACUAAAGGUCAGCAUAACAGUCAACAUUAACGGGGUUGAAUCAACAGCACAAAGUGCCUGAUUGGAAAUACAGAGAAAAUUACAGUGAGAAAAAGAGAUGCAAUCAUUCCCUUGCAUAUGGUGCAUAUGAAGAUGGGAUCAUUACAGGAAAGAUCAAGGAGAUACAGUCAUUAUGCUCUAUAUACACCCAUUUUCAUGGCUAGAGGCUGAAGAUGGGAUGCUUUCUUUGCUGGAAGACCUAUUACCUGUUAGGUUGCAAAAGAUGGGAUCAUCAUCCUAAACAAUAAGUUAGAGUCCCAUAACAAUUUUAAGUGUACUGUUCAUGAAAAUUUGAAUACAUUGUAUUGGGAAUAUAACGGAAGUGAGAUGCCUCAUGUCAUGAGAAAAUCUGACAUAAACUCCUUAAGCAUGAGAGGCCAUGUGGGUAUGGAAGCCCUGAAAGGGAGCAAAAAACAGCCAGACCCUAGCUAUUCCAGUCAUCCCAAAUGAGGUGCCAGACUUGUGAAUGAGGCCAUCUUGCAUCAUCUAGGCCUAGUAGAGCUGCCAACUGACUGCAAACACAUGACUCAAUGCAGUUAAUGCCACAUGGAGCAGAGACAAGCUGCCCAGCUGAGCCCAGUCCAGAUGACAGAAUCAUGAGCAAAUAAGGUUGUUGUUCUUUUAAGCCACUAAAUUUUUGGGUGAUUUGUUAUGCAGUAAUAAAUAACUGAAACAACUA